GCCUAUACAUGCAAGUCGAACGAACUCUGGUAUUGAUUGGUGCUUGCAUCAUGAUUUACAUUUGAGUGAGUGGCGAACUGGUGAGUAACACGUGGGAAACCUGCCCAGAAGCGGGGGAUAACACCUGGAAACAGAUGCUAAUACCGCAUAACAACUUGGACCGCAUGGUCCGAGUUUGAAAGAUGGCUUCGGCUAUCACUUUUGGAUGGUCCCGCGGCGUAUUAGCUAGAUGGUGGGGUAACGGCUCACCAUGGCAAUGAUACGUAGCCGACCUGAGAGGGUAAUCGGCCACAUUGGGACUGAGACACGGCCCAAACUCCUACGGGAGGCAGCAGUAGGGAAUCUUCCACAAUGGACGAAAGUCUGAUGGAGCAACGCCGCGUGAGUGAAGAAGGGUUUCGGCUCGUAAAACUCUGUUGUUAAAGAAGAACAUAUCUGAGAGUAACUGUUCAGGUAUUGACGGUAUUUAACCAGAAAGCCACGGCUAACUACGUGCCAGCAGCCGCGGUAAUACGUAGGUGGCAAGCGUUGUCCGGAUUUAUUGGGCGUAAAGCGAGCGCAGGCGGUUUUUUAAGUCUGAUGUGAAAGCCUUCGGCUCAACCGAAGAAGUGCAUCGGAAACUGGGAAACUUGAGUGCAGAAGAGGACAGUGGAACUCCAUGUGUAGCGGUGAAAUGCGUAGAUAUAUGGAAGAACACCAGUGGCGAAAGCGGCUGUCUGGUCUGUAACUGACGCUGAGGCUCGAAAGUAUGGGUAGCAAACAGGAUUAGAUACCCUGGUAGUCCAUACCGUAAACGAUGAAUGCUAAGUGUUGGAGGGUUUCCGCCCUUCAGUGCUGCAGCUAACGCAUUAAGCAUUCCGCCUGGGGAGUACGCG
rnacentral:rRNA from 2 species